rnacentral:rRNA from 1 species
CCAAAAACAUAGCCCUCAAAACAAUUGAAGGUGAAACCUGCCCAAUGAUUUAAUACACUAAAUUUAAAAAAUUAAAAAAAAAAGAUUAAAUGGCUGCAGUAACCAUGACUGUAAAAAUGUAGCAUAAUAAUUCGCCACUUAAUUAGUGGAUAGUAUGAACGGUUUAACGAAAAUUCCACUGUCUUAUGAAAUAAAAAAAAAAUUUAAAUCAUAGUUAAGAUGCUAUGUAAAACUGUAAGACGAAAAGACCCUAUAAAGCUUAACUAUAUUUCUUAAUAAAUUAAAAAAAAAAUAAAAACAAUUAUUAAUUAAGAUUUGGUAGUUUCAUUGGGGCGAUGGUCUCUAAAAAUAAACAGAGAUAAACCUAUAUAAUAAUAAAAAUUUACUGUAUAAUUAAUAAAUUUAACAGUUACAAAGUAGGGUAUAAUGACCCAUUAUUUUAAUAAAAAAAAAAUAAUGAUCAAUAGAUAAAAGCUACUUUAGGGAUAACAGGAUAAUAAUUUCUUAGAGACCCAAUCGAAGAAAAAGUUUAUCACCUCGAUGUUGAAUUAAGAUAACCUAAUGACGCAGCAGUAAUUAAAGGUAGGUC